GGCGAGGUGACAGAGUGGUCUAAUGCGCCAGACUCGAAAUUGCGAAUAUCUGGUUCCUUCGGGAGCGUGUGUUCAAAUCACACCCUCGUCG
rnacentral:tRNA from 1 species